GUCUGGAUAGCUUCAUUAGUGGAGUAUCAGGCUUUUAAUCUGAGGGUUCAGGGUUCAAGCUCCUGUAUAGGCA
rnacentral:tRNA from 1 species